rnacentral:rRNA from 2 species
UACGGAGGGUGCGAGCGUUGUCCGGAAUCACUGGGCGUAAAGGGCGCGUAGGCGGCGCGGUAAGCGUGCGGUGAAAGUCCGGGGCUCAACCCCGGAUCGGCCGUGCGGACUGCCGGGCUCGAGCACUGUAGGGGCGGGUGGAACUCCGGGUGUAGCGGUGGAAUGCGUAGAGAUCCGGAAGAACACCGGUGGCGAAGGCGGCCCGCUGGGCAGUGGCUGACGCUGAGGCGCGACAGCGUGGGGAGCAAACAGG